UACGGAGGGCGCAAGCGGUGUUCGGACUCACGGGGCGUAAAGCGCGUGUAGGCGGCUUGGCAAGUCGGAUGUGAAAUCCCGAGGCUCAACCUCGGAACUGCACUCGAAACUGCCUGGCUCGAGUCCCGGAGAGGGUGGCGGAAUUCCCGGUGUAGGGGUGAAAUCCGUAGAUAUCGGGAGGAACACCAGUGGCGAAGGCGGCCACCUGGACGGUGACUGACGCUGAGACGCGAAAGCGUGGGGAGCAAACAGG
rnacentral:rRNA from 1 species